GGAUCCGGGAACGCCGCAUCCGACCCUGCCCUGCGGCGCCGUGGGGUCGUUCCGCGACCGCUGGCACCCCGGGCCCGUGUACAGACUCCCUGCCCAGCGCUCUUGGAGCCCCUUUAGGCACUGGAAGGGGCUCUAAUGGCUCCCCGGGGGAGCUGCUUCUUCUCCAAGUGUCCGACAGUGAUAAACUGCACCAGGGGGGACCGUUGGAGCGCGGCCGGGACCGAAGCAGCCCCGCCGGCCCUGGAGCCACCCGGACCCCCCAGGACUCCCCCGGGACCCCCCGACCGCGGCCCGGGACAGGUUGCGGGUUAAAUGUUUGGAGAAGGAACUGAGCCCAGGAAAGUGGGAGUUGCCCAGAGAGGCUCCUCAGUGUGAUUCAGGUACCGUGAUCUGUUGGACUGACUGUGGGAUCGAGCAUAAAUGCUGUUAUCAGGUGCCUGUUUCUUACCCUCACAGAACUGGUCCUGAAUUUUUAAUUUCUGACAAACCUGUGGCCUGGAGCUGUGAUUUCUGCAUUUUCUGUCAUGUAUAGGACAUGUAAAAAUAUUCCUCUGUGAGAUACACUCCUCUACUUGAAAUUCCCACAGAAAUCCAUUGUUGUGCAACACAUCCCUUGUCUGGAGAAGGUGAAUCCUAGAAUUAUGGACUGGUGUGGGUAGGAAGGGACCUCAAAGAACCUUUAGUUCAACUCCCCUUACUUUGCACUCUCCCUGGUUGCUCCAAGCCUUGUCCAGCCUGGCCUUGAACACUCCCAGGGAC